CGCAAGACGCAGAUCUUAACCUAAGUAUCUAUCUCUUUAAUAAUUUUAAAUCUUAGACAUUUUCUAUAUCUCAGGCCAAAACAAAAGAACGAUAUGAGAAUAAACUCAAAAAUCAAUAUUUAUAUCAAGCAAUAACCAAAAUGAAAAAAAAAACAAUACAAAAAAGAGAAAAAAAUUGAAGAUAUAUAGGAUUGGCACGUGAACGUGAACUCCUCAUAAUCAUAAUUAACUUUUAAAUUGCUAAAUCAUGAUAUAAAUCCAAGUUAACAUAGUUUCAUUGUAAUCAAAUAGUAGGCCUGAGAUUCUUUGGCCUAAACGUUAGGUUAUUUGAAGUGAUUUUUUGACCUAAAAUAUUUUUAAAAAUGAGAACAGUUAAUCAAUAAACAAAUUAUAUAAUUAAUAAAAACAUGUUUUUUAAAAAAUGUUUAAGAGCCGAAAAUAUGAAUUCGAUCAAAAAUAUAAAUUUUAUUUUUCCAUACGAUAUUUCUUAAAUAAUUUUCAUAUAAAUUAUUACCCUAGUUUAGAAAGUAAAAUCAAAUACUUCACCGAAGUUAUAGUUUUCUUUUCUUUAACUUCUAUGUUACCGGAUACAGACGUUGAGAGUGACGGAGACAGAAAAACCAACUGGAGUGAACUCCGAAGAGGUCGACGUACGGUGUCAAGACAAAAAGCAAUUAAAGAACUGUCUACAUGUUAUUACCACCACUGUUCACAGUCCAUUAUCAUGGACACAAAACAUCUGUCUUUGUUUCUAGGAGUCUCCCUUUCUUCUUGGAUUUAUUUUGUCAACAGUCUCUCUCUCUCUCUUUGUGCCAAUUGCCAAACAAAGACAGAUGUUUCGGUCGAAUUAUUGUGUCCCAUUUCUGUAGUCGCCGUUCAAUAUGAAUAUAGUACAAGUACGAUGCUUUGUUCAAAUUUUACAAAAAAUUAUGAAUCAAUUAUUCAAAAAAAACAAUACAUCUUUAAUAUUAUUUGUUAAGUUAUAAUUAGGGCUUGACAAAUAAACCGAACCCGAUCCGAUAAAAAUGAAUCCGAACCGAUCCGAACCCCACAUAAAUACCGAAUGGAUCUUAUUUUAUGGUAUUUUGGAUUAUGGAUAUUAUCCAAACCAAACCCAAACCUAAAUAGAUACCCGAUAGAAUCCGGAACAUUCAAAAUAUCAAAAAGGAACUUGUACCAAACAUGAUCUCUCAAUUCCAAAUAUAUAUCCAAAAUAUAUUGAACAUCUAAGAUAAUUAUCUAUUACAUGAAGGUUGAUGGUUGAAGGUGGUGGUUGAAGCCUGAAGUUUUAAGAUUUUGGUUUUGUUUUCAUUGAACAAUAUUUUUCAUUUCAUGAGAACUUGGUUAUUGUUUUUUUUUAUUUAAUUAGUUUUUUUUCUAUCAAUAGCUAUGUUUACCUUUCGUUUGAUUUCGAAUUAUCACGUUUGAUAUUCCUUUCUUAUUUUUGAAUCGAUUUUACUUAUGUUUUGGUUACAAAAUAGGUACAAAGAAAGUAUUUUAAAACCGAAAGAACCGAUUUUACUUAUGUUUUGGUUACAAAAUAGAUACAAAUCAUGUACAUUUAAACCGAAAAAACGAUUGGGACCUGAACCCGAAAGUACAUCGGAUUGUACCAGUUCUUUGAAGAUUUACUAACCCUGACCCGAACCCAAUAGAACCCGAACCAGUCCCGAACCAAACUUUCAUAUAACCCAAUGGGACUGAUUUGGUAAACCCAAAAAACCGAAACCCGAUUGAACAACCGAAACCCGAUUGGGAUCCUGAUUGCCCAUGCCUAGUUAUAAUAUUUUAUGUGUCAUGUUCAUAUUAAGUUUCACAAUGGUCAAUUACAUAUACAUUUCUAGUGAAUUAAAGUUAUUAUUACUAGUUUUUCGUUAUUAAUAUCUCUAAUUUAAAUUUAAGUUUACUAUAUUUAUUUUAUAUUAUUUUUUAGAAAUGACAAAAAUAUCUUAAAUAUCUGUAAAACAAUUUAAGAUAAUUGAAUCACAAAUCAACAUUGUUUAAAGUAUCUCCAAUCCAAUUAUGUUUUGUCCUCUGCAUUUUUUUUCUAAAAUAAAAUAAUUCUAUUAUAGAGGUAAAUUUUCUCUAAUGGUAUACGUCGUUAAAUGUUCGUGGUUUGACACCACGGAAAAUCGCGGUAUGAGAAGACAUCCAUCUGAUCUUGCUGAUGUCUCACCAAGAAGACAAUAUGCAAAAUAUGAUCCUUUUGUAUUACCGGAUAAGUAAAUAUAUAUAUAUAUAUAUAUAUAUAUAGUUGUUUGAGAUUUGAUGUCUGAUGAAAAGCCAUGAUUUGAAACUAUGAUUUCAUUGUAUCAUGAACAGGUAAUUUUGAUCAAGCAUGUUUUAUUCCUUAUCCAUGGGUACGUCGACAUUCAGGCGAUGACUGGUGGGCAUGCACAAAAAUUAUUUCCCGAAGAAUCCGAAAAACGUCAGAAAUUGGUUUAAUUGCGUGGCAAGAUGAUAGACGUGGCCAAGUUGCUGAAAGUUCAUUGUUACGGGUGGAACACAUGUUGUUGAUGAUGUGUCUGAUUAUGAUAUUGCCCCGAUGAAUCCUCCAAAUGACGAAUAUGUAUCAGAUGUUGAUGUAGAAUCAGACGGUGAUUCAGAUGAUGAUUCAAAAUAGUCAAAUAUAUUCUAAGAUUGUAAAAUAUGUUUUAAGUUUGUAAAAUAUGUUGCAACAAUGAAAAAUAUGUACUAAGGUUGAAUAAUAUGUUGUAAGGAUAAAAAUUAAGUUGUAAGGUUGUAAAAUAUGUUGUAGGGAUGAAAAAUAAUUUGUAAGGUUGUAAAAUAUAUUGUAAGAUUUUGGAAUAUGUAUAAAGGUUGAGAAAUGUUGUUUUUGUACGAGGAGAAGGUUGAUGGGUAAGAGUUUAGGUGUUAUAGUUUAGGGGCUAGAAGUUUUGUGGACAUGAUUUAAACAUAGCCACGACUAUUGCGUGGCUAGAUAGUGGCUAUGACGAAACCAAUCGGGUUGGCUCCAAUUUAUUCAGUUUUGGCUCCAAUUUUUUUUAUUUUCACGGUUGAUAUUAAAACUUAGCCACUGUAAAUUCGUGGGAUGUUCGCGGCCAUGACGAAAUUUUGGAAAACCAUUCAGUUUGGCUCCAAUUUAGUUUUUUUUUUUUUUGCUCCAAUUGUUUCUUUUUGCUGUUAUUAUUAAAAUACCGCCACAGUUUGCUAUGGUUUCACUGUGGCUCUGUUGAAAUGGUUUUAAUAUCGGUUUUCCCCUUUCUUCUCAACACUUAGAAAGAAAACAAGAAAGUCGCCACCGACGAAAGCACAUCGUCGUCUCUGAUUCCAAGCCUUGCCGUCUCCGAUUCUAAGCCUCGACGUCUCGCGUCUCCUACUCUCAUCUCUCAAGAGUCCCUGGGACAACUGCUGCGCCUCCUCCUAUGCCUCCUGGUGCUACUGUACUGUCUUUGAACCAUGCUGAUUCCUCAUCUCGUUCCAAUAGUUACCCGCAAAUGACCCUCAAUGCCAUGCUCAAUUCACAUGCUAGGCUAUCACAGCCCCAUCUCCAUCCAAAUAAACUAAAUGGAGCUUUAUGGUUUGGUAUUGACCCAUCUAUCAACGCUUUCAUCCGGGCAACUUGCCAAGGAUACUACAUGGCGCCUUGGAAGAGUUGGAGGAAGGUUCCUGAUGAAAGGAGGGAGUCAUGGUGGCAAACAUUUGUGGUAAGUGACUAGUAUAUGAUAUACCAUGGAUUUUACCCACUUUUAUCCAUGGUAUAUAGGUGUUUUUAAAUACAUUAUAGUUUUUUUGAAGUCUUUUUAAUAUAUUUUCAGGUUUAGGUACGUUUUGGAGGAAAGUAGUGAUUUUGGGGUCUUUUGGAGCCUUUUGAAUGCAAAACUGCACAGACGUGUCAGAUGUUUAGAUAUGGAUGGAGACCUUCCCAUGGUGCGAUAGGGCUUAUAUUUUGACACAUGAUAGAGCUUUGCGUUAUAUUUCCAAUGCCACUGGUUUGAGGUCAAUCCAACAGCUAGAUCGAGAAGUUAUGCAUGUUUUACUGAAGAGUGGUCAGUCUGUCUCGCGAGAGAGAGAUGUCGAGGAGAUGAAGAAGUUCGAUCGACGGUUCACCCUUGGUGUUGAUCGAUGGUGAUUCAAGAACACGGGCCUAGUAUAUUUCAAGACUGACUUAAGCCUAAAAGCAACCACAAAUUACCAGAAUAUCCAUUGACGAUCUAAAACCCUAAUUUAUGUUUUUAAGCCAUUGUUGACGGCUACACUUUCUUUAAGCUUUAUUCUAUUGUUUCUCUUAGGUUAGGAGAGAAGGGAGGGACUCUCAAGGAGUUCUUCCUGGAACUCUUUUGGUUUUAUCAUUGCUUUCUAUUUUAUAUCUAUUUAUCUAUGAUUUCUGUGACAAACUUCAUGCUUGAAUAGAUCCACCUGCUAGAUUUAGGGUUCAGAUAAUCAUGAGGGAUUAGCCCAAAAUAUAGAACUGCUGAGUUGUCUGGAAAUCCAUGAAUUGAAUUGAUCUUAUUGCUUGUGUUCUAUAGUAUCUAACUAGAACCCUGAUCUUAGAUAAUUAGGUGCAAGCGGAAGCUUGGUCUUUUACCUGAACUAAUUCAUAUUGUGCUAGGAUUGCUAGAAUCAAGCGACAGCUGAUUUAGUUAAACCUGGUGAACACGUUCAAACCCGCUCGCUAAAGGUUGCUAGAAGGGACGUUGAUCGACAACUCCAUAGUUGCAUCGAUUGACGGACUGAAGGUGUAUCGAUCGACUAUCCAUUGAUAACGUCGAUCGACACUUUCUCAAGACCAACAAGCGAUAGUUGAGGUCUUAGAUAUAGACAAUAGAUAAUCUAAAGAAACGGAAGUUGAUAGAUUAGUUUGAGUUCUAGAAUAUCCAACCUUAGUUUCUAUACUAUUAUAAUCCUGAUUGCCUGAAUAGAAACCCUAAGUCUAGCAACCAUCAUUUCAUCAACUCAUCAAUCAAUCUCUUUAUAACAACUACCUUGUUCGCUCUGUUCUGCUAUUUACUUAUUUAUAAUCUAUUAGCCUAGCUUAAUCAAUAACUAUUUAGAUCUAGUGUGUGCCCUCACUCCCUGUGAAUUCGAUCCCUAAGUGCUACAACUCGGCCUCUUAAUUGAGAGAGUACCAAUCACUCCUUAGGGUAAUUUGAGUGAUAUCAGUAUACAUUGUAUAUGCCGCUUACAUGUUUUUAAAUCACUUACUCUUUUGUUUUCUUUUGUAGCAAAAUUUCUAUUGGGACUCUGAGUUUAAUGACUUGGUCUACGCUCUAUGGAAGAAAUAAAUAUGGACAACCAUUGGUAAAAGGAUUAGCAAGAAGAAGAGUGAACAAAAGAAGCUAAAGUAUAUCAAUGAUGCUGACGGAUACUCCUGUUGGAGCAUUGAGCGACCGAAGCAGCUAAAAAGAAUAGCAAGAAGGCUGCAAAAUCCCGCAAGUCUGAUCCUGUGGGUAAAGGUUGCCACAAGCAUAAUGCAUAACCUAGGUCUUUUGCAAGGAUAGAGUAUAACAUGGUAUCUUUUCAUGUCUAGACUUUUAAAUAUUGUUCUUUUUCUAAUAUGUUGUAAAAUAUGUUAUUCUUUUGCAGAUGAUUGAGUCUGGUACUAAUGAACGGCCAUCUUACACUGACCUAGUCAGAAAGACACACACCCGAAAAGAUGGAACUUUUGUGGACUAUCGUGCUGAAGAACUGGUUACUCAAGAAGAUAUGGAAGCCACACAGCUCUCUAACACUGAAAGAUCACCCGUGAGUCGAAGUGCAUCAUCUGCUCCUUCUCGCCUUAUGUUAAACAAAGCUUAUCUGAAGGUAUGUUUACUUAAGAUUUCAAUUCUAUUAAUUAUUUUAUGUUCUGUUUUGUAUGUGGAAUUAGAUAUGACUUAGUCUGCUUAAGAAUGUGGUUAAAAAUGUCUUAUGCUAUGUUCAGUUUAUUUACAAAGUUGACUGUAACCUGAAUUGAUUAAAAUUGUUUUAUGUUAUGUUCAAGUUGGUGUUGGUUUUCACUGUUUUCCCUUUCCUCUCAGAGAAUGCUAAGGGUAAGAGGGGACAUGUUUAUGGACUGGGCAGUGCCCAAUACAGGGAGCAUGUACCUUCUUCACGCGUCCCUAAUGGUCUUGCCCGCAACCUGGAGCUGAAGAUGCUUGUAGGCGGUCCUGAGAAAAGCCUCAAAAGUGUCAAUCAGCUCCUCCAAACACUUCUGCUCCAACAAGCACCUACUGGACAGACUUCUGCUCAGCCUCAAGCCCCAACUACUCAGCCUAACCCUGUCAAUGGCAAAUAGAAGUAGGUUGUUCAUCUUGUCUUCUCUUUUGUAACAAGGUUUAUAAAACUCUAGGUCUUUUGGUAGAGUCUUCUUAGACUCUUUAACUAUGUCUUUUUGUAUAGUCUUCUUAGACUCUUUAAAACUCUUCUAACUUAUAUAAUUAUCUAUGUUUUAGUAAUGUUGAACCUACUCUUAUAUAUAUAUGAAAUUGUGUUUUCAUUGAAUCUGCAAUGUUUAAAUAUUUGAAUGGAAAUAUAAUUUGAUAAAAUUGGCAGAUUAAAACUAAUCAAAAGAAAAUCUUUUACAAAAAAGCGGCUACAAAAUAGCACAACAAAAACAAAGACAAUGACUACAGCGUGGCUAAAGAAUACCACGUGAUCCGAAAACAAAACUGUGGCUACAAUAACCACUUUAAAUAUGUGGUAAAACUUUAAUAUAGUUAUUUUGUAAAUAAGUAUAUAUCUCUAUAAAUAAAAUAUUAUAACUGUAACGUCACUACCUUAUAUAUUUUACAGUAAGAAUUGUAAACUUACAUUCUCGUAUUAUAAACUCUCUCACUACCUAAAGAAGAAAAGUUUUCCUCUUUCUCUUGUUUUGGUUUGAUUUAUGUCGUGGAAACAGAAAAUAGGUUUGAUAAAAUUAGUUAUGAAACUUUUUUUUUUUACGUCGAAAGACCAUUCUAUUUCUAUUAGUUAUGAAACUUAUGAUCCUCGAAAUACCAGGUUCGUAUCAGAUAUUUAAUGCGCUAAAAUAAGUCAAUGGUAAGACCAAAAGAAAGUUGUUCCUCCGACAAAGAUUAAAUUCGCACGUCGAGUCUUGGCUGGUUUUCGAUCACAGGCGCAAAUGGGUGUAGCAAGUCUCUCAACAUCAUCUGUUUUUUAUUCUAAGAAUUAUGAAAAACAUCAAAACGAAUUUUUGGAGUAGGAUUCAGAUUUUAUAUAAACCCGUCUCACUCUUUUAUUGGACCUUGUGCAAAUUUAUAAAAAUAACACAUGUAUUCUGUAAAAAUGAGUUUUAAUAUUUUCGUAGCAAACCCUAAAUUCUAAUUAAAAUUUGAAAGAAAAUAUUUGGGCCCUGUGCAGAUGUGCCUUGAGCACAUUCCUAGAGAUGGGCCCACCUAACGCAUAGCGUCUAAAACGAUUAAGCGGACGUCUAAAUUAUUAGUUAAUCAGCUUAGGUGUUUAUAAAUUAUAUCAAUAUAUUAAAUAUAUGUAAUAUUUAUACUAAAAAAUAGUAAAUAUCAUUAUAUGUAUAUAUUAAAAUGUAUAUUAUUUUAUUUUUAUAAGAAUGUAUAUUAUAAUUUAUUAAUUAUUAUAAUUUAUGAACGAUAAAUUAUAUAUUAUUUAUUGUUUCAAUAUUGUAAUUGUCGAAGGAGUUUAAAAG